GAUAGUGAACCAGUACCGUGAGGGAAAGGUGAAAAGAACCCUGAAUAAGGGAGUGAAAUAGAACCUGAAACCAUACGCUUACAAGCGGUCGGAGCGGAUUUAUCCGUGACGGCGUGCCUUUUGCAUAAUGAGCCUACGAGUUACCGUUGCUAGCAAGGUUAAGCACUUCAGGUGCGGAUCCGUAGCGAAAGCGAGUCUGAACAGGGCGUUCAGUUCGUCGGAUUAGACCCGAAACCGAGUGAUCUAGCCAUGAGCAGGCUGAAGGUUGGGUAACACCAACUGAAGGGCCGAACCCGUAUCUGUUGCAAUAGAUUGGGAUGACUUGUGGCUAGGGGUGAAAGGCCAAUCAAACUCGGAAAUAGCUCGUACUCCCCGAAAUGCAUUUAGGUGCAGCGUUGGUUUAGUUUUAUAGAGGUAGAGCUACUGAUUGGAUGCGGGGGCUUCACCGCCUACCAAUUCCUGACAAACUCCGAAUGCUAUAAAAUGAUGACCAGCAGUGAGGGCAUGGGUGCUAAGGUCCAUGUCCGAGAGGGAAAGAACCCAGACCAUCAGCUAAGGUCCCCAAAUGUAUGUUAAGUUGAAUAAACGAGGUUGAACUGCUUAGACAGCUAGGAUGUUGGCUUGGAAGCAGCCAUUCAUUUAAAGAGUGCGUAACAGCUCACUAGUCGAGCGGUUCGGCAUGGAUAAUAAUCGGGCAUAAACAUACUACCGAAGCUAUGGACUUGAAAAAGUGGUAGGGGAGCAUUGUAGUGUCGUCGAAGGUGUACCGUGAGGUAUGCUGGAGAAGCUACAAAAGAAAAUGUAGGCAUAAGUAACGAUAAUGCGGGCGAGAAACCCGCACACCGAAAGACUAAGGUUUCCUCAGCUAUGCUAAUCAGCUGAGGGUUAGUCGGGACCUAACGCGAACCCGAAAGGGGUAGUGGAUGGACAACGGGUUAAUAUUCCCGUACCUGCUCACGUUAAAAGUGACGGAUCCCCGUGGUUGCUGCGUACUGACGGAAUAGUACGUUGAAGCGCAAGCGAUAGUACACUGAGGCUACGGCCAAGGUGAUAAUGCAGCGAAGGGGGUUCCAAGAAAAGCGAGUGAAGCAGCCCGUACCGUAAACCGACACAGGUAGUUGGGAUGAGAAUUCUAAGGUGCUCGAGAGAUUCAUGGCUAAGGAACUAGGCAAAAUAGACGCGUAACUUCGGGAGAAGCGUCGCCCCACUCCGGUGGGGCCGCAGUGAAAAGGUCCAGGCGACUGUUUAUCAAAAACACAGGGCUAUGCUAAAUUGAAAGAUGAC
rnacentral:rRNA from 14 species